rnacentral:rRNA from 1 species
GACGAACGCUGGCGGCGUGCUUAACACAUGCAAGUCGAACGGAGUGGCGAACGGGUGAGUAACACGUGGGUGAUCUGCCUUGCACUUCGGGAUAAGCUAGGGAAAAUGGGUCUAAUACCGGAUAGUGCAAGAUGUGCUCGGGGCUUAUUAGCUUGUUGUGGGGUAAUGGCCUACCAAGGCGUCGACGGGUAGCCGGCCUGUGAGGGUGUACGGCCACCGUGGGACUGAGAUACGGUCCCGAUUCCUACGGGAGGCAGAAGUGGGUAAUAUUGCACAAGUGGCGGAAGCCUGAUGCAGAGACGCCGCGUGGGGGAAGAAGGCCUUCGGGUUGUAAACUCCUUUCGACAGGGACGCGGUACCCGUAUAAGAAGCACCGGCUAACUACGUGCCAGCAGCCGCGGUAAUUC